CGGGGAGUGGCGUAGUCUGGUAACGCGCUUGGUUUGGGACCAAGAGACCGGUGGUUCGAAUCCACUCUCCCCGA
rnacentral:tRNA from 2 species